UUAACGGUUUCUCAGACCCCAGUAAGUAUUUAUUUUUAUAAAGUUUUUCACUUUCAAUAAUACAAUUUUCAAUACACGGCGAUAUGGAUAGGCAAAUUAACUACAAUAUGUUAAUUUUUCUAUAUAAUAUGUCAUAAUAUUUUCGUAGUGCCUGCGAUAAAAAAAAUCUGAUCAUUUGUUAUACAUAUUAGGCAAUCUUACCUAAUUUUACCUUAUCACGAGUGCUCAAUUGAAUUUAACUAUUGUUAGGUAUUAGGGUUCCAGGAGAAAAUUAAUAAUACAAAUGUAAUAUAUUAUAUGUCUAACUUCUACGUUAAUAAACACAUAAAAUGAUUUAUUUCUAUAACUUAAAUCAAUAUAAUUACAUAAAUCCAGACCACGAAGAAGGAAUGCAAUACCUAUGAUCACAUCGUCAAAACAAAGCAAUAAAAAGAACGAUUGGCAUCUCACAGCCACGUCAAAGGAAAAUACCCAAAGUAAUAAUCGCAAACGGAUGCAGAUUAUCAGAACGCAAUUUCAAAAUAGAACUAUUAUUUAAUAUCCAAAUAUAAGAGGGGACAGAAAAUGGUUAUAUAACUACAAAGACCAGUCCAUCUCCACAAGCAGAGCAGUGUGUACCUCUCCGGGCACAAUGCUUCCCUACGACUGCCAGUGCAUCGUCAGAAUCGGAGCAGUACGCAAGACCUACGCCAUUCAACAUCGAAGACAUACACACAUUUUCAUUCUAUCUUUCUCAAGCGAAUAACAUUCUAUCGUUCGUUAUUUAUUAUUCAAAAUUGAAUUUAAAUAUUGCGUUAAUUUAAUAUACCACAUAUGGUCUUAUUGGUUUAAAAUUCCUUAGCUUAAAUUUGGUCUGCCUAUGUAAAAUCUUUCUAUGAUAUACACAAUACCUAUUUACAUUACUUCCUCGAAAGAACACAAUUCAAAAACUCGUUUAUCUUGUGUGUUUGAUUUAUAGUAUAUUUACAAUACAAUAUUAUUAGAAUAUAUCGUUCGAUAGUAUUUGAAAGAAUACGUAUGCGAGGGAAUUCUUUGACGUAUCUGCAUUCUGAACAUACUAUAUAACAUUCACAUACUUAACAAACAUCCUAAAAUUGCAUCCACGACUGUUAAACAUUACAUGCGUGUUUUUAUAAAUACAUAUUGAGGUAUUGUGUACAUCGAAUAACGAUAAGUCACUACAAACAACAUCACGUAAUAAAUCUUAGAUCACAUAAGAGAUCACACGUACAAUUGUAGAGGUAAUUCGUAUAUAGUUAAUUUAAUAUUGCAAUAAUAACGCGUAUCGAAUCACGAUCAACCGAGACAACUUCAGAGACACCAAGAGCAAAAGAGAAUACAUAGACGUUACAGUCAAGGAUAUGCAAUUGCCAAUUGGAUAGAAAAAACAGAUUGAUCAUUGAUUUCUGUAAUCAAGCUUUUUUGUGCUAUGUCAUUUAAAAUGGACCCCACGACGUCCACAAAAUAUGAUAACGCGGGAUAUUCAACUAACAAAAAAAAGGAAAACUGCAAAAAGCCAUCAUGUAUGAAUAUAAAGACGGUUAUAGACAACCGGUAUAUCAAUAAUAUACAAAUCCUGUGCCUAAUUCUUAAGUGGGAUUUUCCAAAAUACGAUUAUUUUAUCAAUAUGGACAUGGUACCAGGUAGAUACUGCCAUACGGUUUUACAUACAGCGAUAUGCUCCACGAUGAUUUACAAAUCCAUAGGCUAAGGUAGAAAGAAAAAUGUUGUUAAAAACGAAGCGGCUAAAAAAAUGUACGAACAAAUAAUAAAUUUGUCCAAAGACGAAAUCGAUAACAUUCUGCAGCACUGUAAACACAAAAUUCCAUGGAUAAAUUUCGAUAACAAAAAGACAUUGGAGAUUUCUACUUCACCUGGCAUUCUGAAAAUUGUCAGAGAGUUAUUUGGUCGAUUACACAAUAAUCCUUGUCUAAAAAAUCUAAAAGUAUUAUAUUGUAAUGUAUAUUUGACUAUAUAGAAGUUAUUAACAAUAUUGUACAAUUUUUUUUUUUUGAUUAUGUAUAUGCAGGAAUUUGAUUCAUUUGAAAAUAUUUCAGCCGUUGAUAUGUUGAACACAAUCGCAGUAAAAUAAGAUUUGAGCUUAACGUACUUCGUACGUGAACAAAUUCCCGGUAUGAAAUUAACUAAAACUAAAAUCUGAUAUCUUAACUAUAGUUAAGUAACAUUUUUUUUUCAAACGUUGGAAAUGUGGCAAAAAUAAACAUAAUUUAUGGUAUGGUGUUUGUUCGUUUUGGAUUGACCAUUGCUCAAGCUAAAGAAUCAGCCGCUUUUGCUGUUUUAAUGUACGUUAAUGACGUAAACAUAAUCAAUCAAAAACAAUAAAAAAAAUCAUUUAACCACCAUCAUGGUGCUCGGUGUUGCUAAUAAAAAAAAAUAGUGAUUCAUAGUUAUAUCAUUUUAAGGUAAAUUUUGUAAUAAUAAGGUAAAAUUUUUUAAAGUUAGGAAAAUAAAAUGAUUUUUCUUUAUUUAUAACUUUAAGUUUUUUAACAUUGUUUUUAUCAAAUUUGAUACCACCAAGCACCAUCAAGCACUAUAGCGGUGGUAAAAUGAUUUUAUAUAUCAAAUCAUAUUUUAAUUUUGAACCCAAUGUAGUAGUAUUUUUAACUAUCAUAAUAUUCAUAAGUCUUGAAAGCUUGAAAAGUAUUAUUGUUUAACGAGGCAUAAUAGCCAUAAUAUAUACCUAUAGGUUAGUUAACCUAACCUAUAUGUAAGGCUGGGCAAGUUAACGAUUUUUUUUAACUCGUUAAGUUAAGUUAUUUUAAAAUAAUAAAGUUAAGUUAAAAGUUACUCGUAUUUUUUUUCGUUAACUCGUUAAGUUAAAAGUUAACUUUGAAAAAAAAGUAACGUAACUUAGUGUAAAUUUAAAAUUUACUAAUUUGCAAAAUAAAAACUCUAGACACAAAAUAUGGUUUGUUAGAUAGUUUUUAUUUACGCUUAAGAAAAUUACUGGGGAAAUUUAAAAUGAUACAUCAAAGUAAAAACUCAUUCGAAAAUUUGUAUUUUUCUUUGGACGAAAAUUAACUUAAUUUAGAUACUUUUGAAAUAAAAUUAACUUGAA